UCCGGCGUGGUCUAGUGGCUAGGAUACCUGGUUCUCACCCAGGAGGCCCGGGUUCGAUUCAAGGCGUCGGAA
rnacentral:tRNA from 1 species